GUGUCAGCAGCCGCGGUAAUACGUAGGGUGCGAGCGUUAAUCGGAAUUACUGGGCGUAAAGGGUGCGCAGGCGGUUUUGUAAGACAGAUGUGAAAUCCCCGGGCUUAACCUGGGAACUGCGUUUGUGACUGCAAGGCUAGAGUACGGCAGAGGGGGGUGGAAUUCCGCGUGUAGCAGUGAAAUGCGUAGAUAUGCGGAGGAACACCGAUGGCGAAGGCAACCCCCUGGGCCUGUACUGACGCUCAUGCACGAAAGCGUGGGGAGCAAACAGGAUUAGAUACCCUGGUAGUCCACGCCCUAAACGAUGUCAACUAGUCGUUCGGAGCAGCAAUGCACUGAGUGACGCAGCUAACGCGUGAAGUUGACCGCCUGGGGAGUACGGCCGCAAGGUUAAAACUCAAAUAAAUUGACGG
rnacentral:rRNA from 1 species